GAUGAAGAACGUAGCAAAAUGCGAUACUUGGUGUGAAUUGCAGAAUCCCGUGAACCAUCGAGUUUUUGAACGCAAGUUGCGCCCGAAGCCUUUUGGCCGAGGGCACGUCUGCCUGGGCGUCACGCAUCGCGUCGCCCCCCACAAUUCUCCGUAAAAGGAACAUGUGUUUUGGGGGCGGAUAUUGGUCUCCCGUGCUCAUGGCGUGGUUGGCCGAAAUAGGAGUCCUUUCGAUGGACGCACGAACUAGUGGUGGUCGUAAAAACCCUCGUCUUUUGUUUCGUGCUGAUGCUCGCAAGGUAAACUCUUUAAAAACCCCAAUGUGUCGUCUCUUGACGACGCUUCGACCGCGACCCCAGGUCAGGCGGGACUACCCGCUGAGUUUAAGCAUAUCAAUAAGCGGAGGA
rnacentral:misc_RNA from 1 species